rnacentral:lncRNA from 1 species
UCGUAUUUCUUCUGAAAAUUGUAAUGGGCAUUCUUCAUCAUCUCCUUUCUUCACUGGCGUCUCCACCGCUAUUCUCGGCGAAGUGGGUCAGUCGUUAUACCCUAGAAUAAGAUUCAAAAUCCUCUCUUUCUAUUGAUCUCUCUAAGCAAAGUGAGUGAUUUCUUAUUUGUUUUGGGUCAGCAAUGAAUCUACUCCACAUCAAUCAUCAAUAACAUAGCUUUCUGUUUCAGAUCCAACCCCCACCUUCGUCGGCUUCUCAGAUUAUCACCAUAUUCCUCCACCACUCUCCAUCCUUCUGACGCUGCCGCAGUUGAUAUGGUAAGAACCAUCUUUUUCCCAUUGUAAGUUUCCUUGAAAGUCUGAUUCUUCUCUACGAAAAUUUCACAAAGUCUUAGCAAUCUCAACGUAUUCCAUAUAGUCAAAUUUAAAACUUUGAACCAAUCAUUGUUCUAAUUUUGAACCAAACGUUAUUCAUCCAACUUUAAAAAAUUUUGUAAGCCUUAUAAAGACGAGAUUUUGUUAUUGUCGCUAAAGUGGAGAGGAAGUUAGAAGUUUGGAUACUCUUGAGAUUUUUCAAAUUGGUCUGUAAAAAUAUGUGUAUUAUAGAUAUUUUUUGUUUCGUUUUCGUGGAUGGGUAGAGAAGUUGUUGACGUGCGUAUGAACAAAGAUUGACAUUGUUCCCUUUGUUAUUUCCAUUUAGUUAACUCCACAUGAACAUGUAGAAGAGAAGAUUCCUAUCUUCCUAUGGCCUCUUGAUGGGAAAUAUUGAGAAUCAACCAAGUCUAAAGACGAGCUCAUGUACAGUGUACACAACCCGCC